UGGGCUCGUAGCUCAGCCUGGUUGGAGCGCUACACUGAUAAUGUAGCGGCCCCCGGUUCAAAUCCGGGCGGGCCCAU
rnacentral:tRNA from 1 species